CAGUAGCCGCGGGAAUACGGAGGGUGCAAGCGUUAAUCGGAAUUACUGGGCGUAAAGCGCACGCAGGCGGUCUGUUAAGUCAGAUGUGAAAUCCCCGGGCUUAACCUGGGAACUGCAUUUGAAACUGGCAGGCUUGAGUCUUGUAGAGGGGGGUAGAAUUCCAGGUGUAGCGGUGAAAUGCGUAGAGAUCUGGAGGAAUACCGGUGGCGAAGGCGGCCCCCUGGACAAAGACUGACGCUCAGGUGCGAAAGCGUGGGGAGCAAACAGGAUUAGAUACCCCUGUAGUCCCUGUCUCUUAUAA
rnacentral:rRNA from 1 species